rnacentral:rRNA from 1 species
UACAGAGGGUGCAAGCGUUGUUCGGAAUUAUUGGGCGUAAAGGGAGUGUAGGCGGCUAGGAAAGUCUUCUGUGAAAUCUACGGGCUCAGCCUGUAACGUGCAGAGGAAACUAUCUGGCUAGAGUGUCGGAGAGGAUAGGGGAAUACCCGGUGUAGAGGUGAAAUUCGUAGAGAUCGGGUGGAACACCAGUGGCGAAGGCGCCUGUCUGGCUGACAACUGACGCUCAUGCACGAAAGCGUGGGGAGCAAACAGG